UAACCACUCAAGCUCUAGCUUGGUCUUGGGGUUCGCGUCCUCGCGGCUCCUAAAAUCAGUGGCGGUGCCGGUCGGCUCUACGCGUAGUAAUACUCCUCGCGAUUGAGUCCGGUCGGUCUACUGGCCAACAACCCCCCAUUUUUUACA
rnacentral:misc_RNA from 1 species